rnacentral:rRNA from 1 species
AAUUCAAAGAAAUUGACGGGGGCCCGCACAAGCGGUGGAGUAUGUGGUUUANUUNGNUGCAACGCGAAGAACCUUACNNCAGGCNUGACAUCUAGGGAACCCUUNGGAAAUGAAGGGGUGCCCUUCGGGGAGCCCUAAGACAGGUGCUGCAUGGCNGUCGUCAGCUCGUGCCGUGAGGUGUUGGGUUAAGUCCCGCAACGAGCGCAACCCCUAUCUUCAGUUGCCAGCAGGUAAGGCUGGGCACUCUGGAGAGACCGCCCCGGUCAACGGGGAGGAAGGUGGGGACGACGUCAAGUCAUCAUGGCCCUUACGCCUGGGGCUACACACGUACUACAAUGGCGCGCACAAAGGGUAGCGAGACCGCGAGGUGGAGCCAAUCCCAAAAAACGCGUCCCAGUCCGGAUUGGAGUCUGCAACUCGACUCCAUGAAGUCGGAAUCGCUAGUAAUUCGAGAUCAGCAUGCCGCGGUGAAUGCGUUCCCGGGUCUUGUACACACCGCCCGUCACACCACGAGAGUUGGCAACACCCGAAGCCCGUGAGAGAACCGUAAGGACUCAGCGGUCGAAGGUGGGGCUAGUAAUUGGGGUGAAGUCGUAACAAGGUAA